rnacentral:rRNA from 1 species
AAGACCUUUGCGCUUUUGGAGCGGCCGAUGUCUGAUUAGCUAGUUGGUGGGGUAAUGGCCUACCAAAGCUUCGAUCAGUAGCUGGUCUGAGAGGACGGCCAGCCACACUGGGACUGAGACACGGCCCAGACUCCUACGGGAGGCAGCAGUGGGGAAUUUUGGACAAUGGGCGCAAGCCUGAUCCAGCCAUGCCGCGUGAGUGAAGAAGGCCUUCAGGUUGUAAAGCUCUUUCAGCCGGGAAGAAAAGGCUGCGACUAAUAAUCGCAGUUCAUGACGGUACCGGAAGAAGAAGCACCGGCUAACUACGUGCCAGCAGCCGCGGUAAUACGUAGGGUGCGAGCGUUAAUCGGAAUUACUGGGCGUAAAGGGUGCGCAGGCGGUUUUGUAAGUCAGAUGUGAAAUCCCCGGGCUUAACCUGGGAACU